rnacentral:rRNA from 1 species
UACGUAGGUGGCAAGCAUUGUCCGGAUUUACUGGGCGUAAAGAGCGCGCAGGCGGUCGGAUAAGUCGAAUGUGAAAGCCCCCGGCUCAACUGGGGAGGGUCAUUCGAUACUGUUCGACUCGAAGGCAGGAGAGGGAAGUGGAAUUCCCGGUGUAGUGGUGAAAUGCGUAGAUAUCUGGAGGAACACCGGUGGCGAAGGCGGCAUCCUGGACCGGUAUUGACGCUGAUGCGCGAAAGCCAGGGGAGCAAACGGG